UUGCUUUACUGCUUUUCCACCUACAGGUUUCUAUUAUGCUGAUCAGUGGGAAAAGCCUCGUCCUAUGAUUGGCAAGCUUUCAACAAAAGCCAUUUAACAAAGCAGACCAGGAACAGAAUCACAUAAGAACAAAACAGGAACUUGUUCUAAAAGAAACCACUCUUAAGCUGCAUUUAUAAAGUUUUGAUCCUGUCAGUCAUGUGUGAUCCAUACACAGGUAAACCACAUCCAUGCCCUGGAGGUUUUCCACAUCCCCAGGUCUAUCCACCAGCUCCUGGUUAUCCAUACCCAGUAGGACCUGCUGUGCCAAGCAUGCCUGCUUCACCUUGCCCACCCUAUCACCCACCUCCCCCUGUGGUGCUUCCUGCACCUAUUGUGUGCACCUGUUCAACUGGUCACAUCUGUCCUCAUCAUCACCAUCACCCCCCACAUCAUGGGCAUGGGCAUCAUCACCACCACCACCAUGGACAUCAUGGACAUCACGGACAUCAUCAUCAUCACCACCACCACCACCACCAUGGACUUUUUGGACUUCUCAAGAAGCAUUAAUGCCAGCAUGACAGUGCAAAGGUAAAAGCUUAUAAAUUUGAAGACAGCUUACAGAAACAAUGAAUGAAUAAUCACCAGAAAGCUUGGAGAUAUAACCACAACUGUCAUCAUUAAAUAUAAUUUUGAUGUUUUAUACCAAGUGUGCUUAGCAGGAUUUUGUAACCUUUUAGACCAUCAGAUGUAUUACAUGCAAUUAUACCUGUAGAAAUUAAAAAAAAAAACAUCUGCUGAUAUUGAUAUAAAGCAUGCAAGGCUAGUAUUUCUAAAUAACUGUAACCACUAUUACUGUAUCUACGCAAACUGUGUUUCUAAAGUCAUUUGAACCAGACUAAAUCCAAUAAUUUGUGUGGUAGACUUUAUGUGCAUUCAUAUUUUAUUUUAACAAAGUACACAACUACAUAUAGAUCAGAAUGCAGGAAUACCAAGUUCAUAUACCCGAGGCGAAAUGUAAACUGUUUUAUUUUAAAUCUUUAUAUUGUAAAAGAGAGAGAAGCAACAGGUAGUUCCAAUAUAUGAUUUUCAUAUUCAUACAUAACUAUGCACCAUAUGAGCUAUGCAUGGGAUGCAUUUACAAAUAGUGGUACAAAGUACUGAGACUAAAUUAAUAUUAAAAUCAAUAUCCUAGUGCCACAAACAUUGUGUAAUUCUUACAAGUUUAGACAAGUCCUUAAAAAGAUCUUUUAAAAAUAGGGUCCUUUCUGACACUUGUAUAUUUCUUCAAAAACAUCAGCAAUCAUGUAAUUUGUUACAGACUAUUCCUUCCCUUAACUUACAUGUCAGUAAAGUAUAACUGUCACUGAUACCUGCAGAAUGUAUGUUGGUGUGUUGUGAAGAUGCAAGUCAUUGCAAUCUUUAGUAGCAAAGAAAAGAAAAGAAAAAAACAUUUAUUGUAUACCAAAAGUUGCAAAGGUAUAUUAAAUAUUUAAUAAACUGGAGAGGAAUAACCCACUUUCAACUACA